rnacentral:rRNA from 1 species
UUCCGUUGGUGAACCUGCGGAGGGAUCAUUACACAAAUAUGAAGGCGGGCUGGAACCUCUCGGGGUUACAGCCUUGCUGAAUUAUUCACCCUUGUCUUUUGCGUACUUCUUGUUUCCUUGGUGGGUUCGCCCACCACUAGGACAAACAUAAACCUUUUGUAAUUGCAAUCAGCGUCAGUAACAAAUUAAUAAUUACAACUUUCAACAACGGAUCUCUUGGUUCUGGCAUCGAUGAAGAACGCAGCGAAAUGCGAUAAGUAGUGUGAAUUGCAGAAUUCAGUGAAUCAUCGAAUCUUUGAACGCACAUUGCGCCCUUUGGUAUUCCAAAGGGCAUGCCUGUUCGAGCGUCAUUUGUACCCUCAAGCUUUGCUUGGUGUUGGGCGUCUUGUCUCUAGCUUUGCUGGAGACUCGCCUUAAAGUAAUUGGCAGCCGGCCUACUGGUUUCGGAGCGCAGCACAAGUCGCACUCUCUAUCAGCAAAGGUCUAGCAUCCAUUUAAGCCUUUUUUUUCAACUUUGACAUUCGGAUCAGGGAAGGAAACCCCAUCCCGGAACAAA